UGGGAAACUGGGUCUAAUACCGGAUAUGACGCCUCAUCGCAUGGUAGGGGGUGGAAAGUUUUUGUGGUUUUGGAUGGACUCGCGGCCUAUCAGCUUGUUGGUGAGGUAAUGGCUCACCAAGGCGACGACGGGUAGCCGGCCUGAGAGGGUGACCGGCCACACUGGGACUGAGACACGGCCCAGACUCCUACGGGAGGCAGCAGUGGGGAAUAUUGCACAAUGGGCGAUAGCCUGAUGCAGCGACGCCGCGUGAGGGAUGACGGCCUUCGGGUUGUAAACCUCUUUCAGUAGGGAAGAAGCGAAAGUGACGGUACCUGCAGAAGAAGCGCCGGCUAACUACGUGCCAGCAGCCGCGGUAAUACGUAGGGCGCAAGCGUUAUCCGGAAUUAUUGGGCGUAAAGAGCUCGUAGGCGGUUUGUCGCGUCUGCCGUGAAAGUCCGGGGCUCAACUCCGGAUCUGCGGUGGGUACGGGCAGACUAGAGUGAUGUAGGGGAGACUGGAAUUCCUGGUGUAGCGGUGAAAUGCGCAGAUAUCAGGAGGAACACCGAUGGCGAAGGCAGGUCUCUGGGCAUUAACUGACGCUGAGGAGCGAAAGCAUGGGGAGCGAACAGGAUUAGAUACCCUGGUAGUCCAUGCCGUAAACGUUGGGCACUAGGUGUGGGGGACAUUCCACGUUUUCCGCGCCGUAGCUAACGCAUUAAGUGCCCCGCCUGGGGAGUACGGCCGCAAGGCUAAAACUCAAAGGAAUUGACGGGGGCCCGCACAAGCGGCGGAGCAUGCGGAUUAAUUCGAUGCAACGCGAAGAACCUUACCAAGGCUUGACAUGGACUGGAAAUACCUGGAAACAGGUGCCCCCGCUUGCGGCCGGUUCACAGGUGGUGCAUGGUUGUCGUCAGCUCGUGUCGUGAGAUGUUGGGUUAAGUCCCGCAACGAGCGCAACCCUCGUUCUAUGUUGCCAGCGCGUGAUGGCGGGGACUCAUAGGAGACUGCCGGGGUCAACUCGGAGGAAGGUGGGGACGACGUCAAAUCAUCAUGCCCCUUAUGUCUUGGGCUUCACGCAUGCUACAAUGGCCGGUACAAAGGGUUGCGAUACUGUGAGGUGGAGCUAAUCCCAAAAAGCCGGUCUCAGUUCGGAUUGGGGUCUGCAACUCGACCCCAUGAAGUCGGAGUCGCUAGUAAUCGCAGAUCAGCAACGCUGCGGUGAAUACGUUCCCGGGCCUUGUACACACCGCCCGUCAAGUCACGAAAGUUGGUAACACCCGAAGCCGGUGGCCUAAC
rnacentral:rRNA from 1 species